CCUACGGGAGGCAGCAGUGGGGAAUAUUGGGCAAUGGACGCAAGUCUGACCCAGCAACGCCGCGUGAAGGAAGAAGGCUUUCGGGUUGUAAACGUCUUGUAAGGGGGAAGAGCAGAAGACGGGACCCCUUGAAUAAGCCACGGCUAACUACGUGCCAGCAGCCGCGGUAAUACGUAGGUGGAAAGCGUUGUCCGGAUUUACUGGGGGUAAAGGGCGUGCAGCCGGAGAGACAAGUCAGAUUUGAAAUCCACGGGCUCAACCCGUGAACUGCAUUGGAAACUGUUUCCCUUGAGUGUCGGAGAGGUAAUCGGUCUUCCUUUUGUAGCGGUGACCUGCGUCGAUUUUAG
rnacentral:rRNA from 1 species